CACAAAUGGAGCCAGGCUAAUGGAGAGGAAGGAGAGCUUUUUCCAAACCAAUAGAGAAAGGCCCACAGGAAAUGUUUAGCAGAUGUGGCAAACCCAGACAGUUAUGAAAUCAUUGUUCAUUCAUAACUUUACGUAAGUCUGAGCAUGCAGACAGUUGCUUUGCUUUAUUUUGGUUUUACUUUCUGUUUUCUUGCUUGAGAAGAACCCUAGAGCUUCAGGUAAACUCAACCCCCUCUUCGCAGAAAUGUCACUCAUGCUCAUCACAGAUGACGCAGAUGCCGAGGAAGCCACAGAGAGCAAUUGGGCACAGGCGGUUCAAAACUGGCCUGCGGGAGCAUGGGAGUCUUUUCCUGCAUGGGGCCUGCAGAAGGAAAUGCAGCCCGCAGCUCAGCACGGCCUCCAGACGGCCCUAGUCUCUGCGUUUCCUCAGAAACUCCUUGCGGGAAGAACACACAUGUUCCAGGCCAGAUGCUCUUCCCCACGUCUAUGGACAGAGCACUGAUCCCAGUGAGGAACGUCCACACACCACACAGCAAAACCCUUCUCACCGUGAGAAAUUGACAGUUGCCUGAGAAAGACACUGUCGUGUAGGAAACAAAGCCUUCAUCUCAGAUUUUAGAGAAAUCCCCGCAAAGAAAUGACAAAAGCAGAGUGGCUUCAGCGUUCUCCGUAGACACAGAUGUUCACCUCCACUGUGGGCAUCUUCAGGCAGGAGCUUUGCCUCACCCCUUCUCUCGUGUGCCUUCCAGGACUCAGCCCCCUCGUGCCUCCCGGAAUGCAGGGGUGCCAUUGGAAAGAUGGAAAGUCUAAGGAGGGUACAAGUCACAGCUGCUCUGGUCCUCAGAGCUUCCCUGCACUGGGCGUGUUGAAUGCACACUCUCUACCCCAUAACAUACCAUCAGAUGCGGGAAUAUGAAUGAGAUCAUCCCAGACUCCAUGGGGAUCACAGAGCUUGGGAAAGGAAUGUCAACACUGGAAGGCAGGUCUGAGUCCAAGUCUGUGUCCUCAGCCUAAAAUCUUCAGAUUUAGUAAAUAAAAACAUGGGUUGCCUGGUUAAAUUUUUACAUAAGCAAAGAAUAGUUUUUAGCAUAAAAUGCUGCAUGCAAUAUUCAGUGUCCUGUAUUUCGUCUGGCAGCCUCACCUCUCCGGCACAGCUAUGGGAAGAUGCUUUUGUCCGCCCAGCCAGGGCCAGGAUGACACCAGGGACGCUCAAACGUCUACAGCCAAUUUGGUGACCCCCUUUAAUUUUUGGAAAUGCCACUGCUGGCCCCUCACAGUGGAAAUUCUUCAUGUGCAACCAGCUCAUAAAUAUAGUGUGUUGGAGGCACCUGGAUGGUUAGGACUCAGGACAAUAUUCUCCCCAAAUAUUUUCUCAACAUCCAUCUUCCUGGUGGCAAUUAGUGUCUGAGAUUCUCUUUAACUUUUCCUUGCCGGGGUGACUGCAGUCAGCCGUCAAGGCAAGAAAAGGGAAGUCUGAAAAAGUGUAAAACUGAUCAUCAAAACACAAAACUUUACGUGUUUUUCUCUGAAAGCGCAUGAAACUGGCUGCUUAGCUUCCAAAUGGAAACCCCACACUGCAUGUUCUCCGAGGCUUUUCUGCUUUCUUUUGACAUUUUGACACUGAGCUCUGAAAUAAUAGUGUUAACUGUUGAUCUUUUUUUCCUUUGGAAAUUGGCUUUUGACACUAGACAGCUGGAAAAUCUGAAAGGUUAGCGCACAUCUGGUGCGUCUACCUCAAUAUAAAUGCCAAUGUUCCAUCAAAGCUUUUCACAGAUCAAUGAAAUAAUGAUCACAGGUGCCAAGACACAGGGAUUCACUAAGAUGGACAGCCACACAGAAUUAUGACAAGCAGCAAAGCUUCUUAUUCCUACAAUACAGGGUAGAGAGAGACAACUGUUUGAACUUUCAAAUUGUACACUGGAAGACGAGCACCAUGUUUGCAAUUGAUUCUGCCUCCUUCCAGCUUAGAGCCUUCAGUAGCAGACACGAGCAAUUUCCUACCCUGCUGAGCUCCAUGGGCUCCCAAUGGAUCCUUCAAAGCUGAGCUCCUGGUAACCUCACAGAGAAUCGCUGUGUGGGAAACCAGAGCAGGAGGCUGGAGGCAGGUAAGAGCCGGGCCAUCCACAUGGUAACAUGGAAACUGGGUUGUUUUUCCAGGGCUUGGACCAGGCUUGGGCGUGUGGCUGCUGCACGUGAGAAAUGUCCCUUCUCCCACACACGCCAGUAGCCACACCACUCUCUGAAUAGGAACACCUGCUCUAUGUACCCAGCCCAAUGUAUUACAAUAUUUAUUAGGCCCUCAUGCUGUGGCUAGGUAAAGUGAAGUGACAUACAUUUUAUGAAAUUUGUGUCCCCAUGUCUGUACCUUCAUUCUGACGUCACUGCUCUUGCCAAGAACAGAUCAAAACCGUUGCAUGUUUGGGUUUGUUACUCCCUUGUUCUUCCCACUGUGCUGGCAAGAGGGCGCGGGCGAUAAAUGAGGUCAGGAACACCUGCUCCAUUGCAACUGCUUCUGGACAGACCAGACCUCAGGCCACAUGCUCACCAGUGCUGGGGUUGAGCCCUAUUCUGUGACCCCACCACAAUGAAUAUUGAGGCAGAAAUCGUGAAUAUGACAAGGUCCUGCCCUCAUACUCCUUAAGAAAAAGGAAAAUAUUUUAAAUGAAAUCAUCUUCAUUGUUACAUUUACAAAUGAGGGAUAAAAACCAAACACAUAGAAAAGUAUUUUAAAAAUUCCUGUGUACCCCCAGCGACAUGUACUGUGACACCGUGAGCAUUUUGGCGUCUAUCCAUCCAGAUACGUUCCUACCUGCAUGCAAUGGCAGGAAAGAUCCAGAUACAGAUUUCCAUGCCCAAACACCCUACACCCAGUUGAUGUCCCAGACCUGCUAUCCCAUAACCGACUCUUCCCUUAACAGCAUACCUUACAUGUCCUCUUAGUCAACGGACACACAUCAGCUUCGUCUUCAGUGUCUGUCCAGUAUUCGUGCCAUGCCACUCCAUAAUUUCUUCACAAAAAUCUCCCAUUUCAGGCAAUUUAUGUUUAUUGUUAAGCCAGUCACAUUUAGCAGUGUGGGGUCGUGUACCAACUUUAGUGACACCAAUGUUAAUCAGUUCUGAUAACCACUACAUUGGACAAGCCAGGAUUUUUUUUUUUAAUUCCUACUUGUUUCAAACAACAGUACGUGUUUACAAGAAGGCUUUUGUAAUUCUAUAUUUGCAAAAAGUGUGUAUGUGUCUGGUUCUUUUCUGCGGAUACAUUUCUGGAAGUGCAAUCUCUGGGUUGGCAUUUUGUACACUUUAAACCUUUCUCGUAUGUGCCCCCAAAUCGUCCUCCAGAAAGUUGGCACUGGAGCACACCACCCACAGCGGGGUAUGAGGCCUGAGACGAAAGUGAAUCCUGUGUCUUCUUCAGAGACACAGAAGCUGCUGAUUUCUUCCUGUUCUGGAGACUGACACUUAAAUGUGUCUCAGAAGUGGUUUGGGGCAAAGUAGGGGCAAAAAUUUUCAUGUGGAGGCAACAAAUUUAAAUAACCAAACACAAUGAACCAAAAUUAUCGAUUCUCUGAGUCAUUUUAUAACUGAAUAGUCAAUUCUCUGAGUCGUUUUAUAACACCUGGGACAGCGUCGUGGAGACUGAACACGUGAGUUCUCUGAGUUGCUUUAUACCACCUGGGAGAGUGUGGUGGAGAUUGAACACAUCAAUUCUCUGAGUCGUUUUAUAAUGCCUGAAAGAGCAUCAUCGAGACUGAACACGCGGUGAAUUGCAGCCACUACUCAACAUCAUGCUUUUCACGUCUAGUCUGGAUGGAACAUUCUAGAAGGGCUCUAGGAGACACGUGGAUCCUGGAGUAAGUUGGGUAAAGAAACAUGUUAAAGGAAGGUAGCUCUUAUUUUACCAGAGCCUGUCCUUUGGUUUUUGUUAAAUCCAGAGUAUCUUAAAAUUUAAGAAUUACAUUUUCAGGUAGAAGCUUCAAUACUGUUUAUUUGAAUAAAAUAUAAAUAAUUUAUAUUAACAAGGCUGCUUAAAGUUUAUUGAAUUCUCAAUUUUUUAUGACCUUAUCAUCUCCUUAUGAAAUAACUGUUACUGAACAAGAAUUAAGUCUUAU
rnacentral:lncRNA from 10 species